CCAGACUCCUACGGGAGGCAGCAGUGAGGAAUAUUGGUCAAUGGUCGGGAGACUGAACCAGCCAAGCCGCGUGAGGGAUGAAGGUACAGAGUAUCGUAAACCUCUUUUGUCAGGGAACAAAGGCGGGGACGUGUCCCCGGAUGAGUGUACCUGAAGAAAAAGCAUCGGCUAACUCCGUGCCAGCAGCCGCGGUAAUACGGAGGAUGCGAGCGUUAUCCGGAUUUAUUGGGUUUAAAGGGUGCGCAGGCGGAAUGUCAAGUCAGCGGUAAAAUUUCGGGGCUCAACCCCGUCGUGCCGUUGAAACUGGCGUUCUUGAGUGAGCGAGAAGUAUGCGGAAUGCGUGGUGUAGCGGUGAAAUGCAUAGAUAUCACGCAGAACUCCGAUUGCGAAGGCAGCAUACCGGCGCUCAACUGACGCUCAUGCACGAAAGCGUGGGUAUCGAACAGGAUUAGAUACCCUAGUA
rnacentral:rRNA from 1 species